UACAGAGGUGGCGAGCGUUAUUCGGAAUUAUUGGGCGUAAAGGGCGCGUAGGCGGCUUGACAAGUCCCGGGUGAAAUCCCUCGGCUCAACCGAGGAACUGCCUUGGAAACUGUCUGGCUUGAGGCCGGGGAGAGGGUAGUGGAAUUCCCAGUGUAGCGGUGAAAUGCGUAGAUACUGGGAGGAACACCGGUGGCGAAGGCGGCACCUGGACCGGUUCUGACGCUGAGGCGCGAAAGCGUGGGUAGCAAACAGG
rnacentral:rRNA from 1 species